rnacentral:rRNA from 1 species
GAGUGGCGGACGGGUGAGUAAUGUCUGGGAAACUGCCUGAUGGAGGGGGAUAACUACUGGAAACGGUAGCUAAUACCGCAUAACGUCGCAAGACCAAAGAGGGGGACCUUCGGGCCUCUUGCCAUCGGAUGUGCCCAGAUGGGAUUAGCUAGUAGGUGGGGUAACGGCUCACCUAGGCGACGAUCCCUAGCUGGUCUGAGAGGAUGACCAGCCACACUGGAACUGAGACACGGUCCAGACUCCUACGGGAGGCAGCAGUGGGGAAUAUUGCACAAUGGGCGCAAGCCUGAUGCAGCCAUGCCGCGUGUAUGAAGAAGGCCUUCGGGUUGUAAAGUACUUUCAGCGGGGAGGAAGGGAGUAAAGUUAAUACCUUUGCUCAUUGACGUUACCCGCAGAAGAAGCACCGGCUAACUCCGUGCCAGCAGCCGCGGUAAUACGGAGGGUGCAAGCGUUAAUCGGAAUUACUGGGCGUAAAGCGCACGCAGGCGGUUUGUUAAGUCAGAUGUGAAAUCCCCGGGCUCAACCUGGGAACUGCAUCUGAUACUGGCAAGCUUGAGUCUCGUAGAGGGGGGUAGAAUUCCAGGUGUAGCGGUGAAAUGC